GAAGCUGUGGGAAAUCGUGUAUAACUUUAAAAAUUAUAAAACAGUGUAAGAAUAUAUAUGGCUUUACUGAAUAUAGAAAUGGAGGGUUUUGAAGAACGCAGUUCACAUGAAUACGAGCAUUCCUACAACAAGCUUGAUAUGGGCAAUGAGCUUACACUGUCGUGGAAGCAAUGGCUCAAAUUUUUAUUACUGACACUGACUAUAUGUUUGGUUUUUUCUGGAUUGGUACUAGCUGUAACUUAUUUUACAUUGCAUGCUGAACUAAGAGUAAACAUGGAGAAGACUUAUGAAGUCCUGAUGAAAACACAAAACAAUUCCGCUCAUGCCCUGACAUCUGGAAAAGAAAAAGAAGAAACCUUCAAAAAACCGGCAUUUUUUGCACGUUUAAAGCCACCCGAUCGCUCAGUGACCCUUAAAUCUAACAGCGUAGUUAAAUUUAAUGCUAUUACGACAAACAUCGGGAGUGGAUACGACUCAAAUACCGGAG